UUCCUUUCUCUCCCACUUUUCCAUGUCCAAACAGGGGUAAGAGAAGUCAAAGGAGAAGGGUAACAAAACCAAGGAAAAUCAAAGAAAACAAAUUUAUCGAGCGGGACAAAAAACUGAGCUUUUUCAUCGAUUAUUCUUUCUAAAUUGAAUGCAAGUAAUUGUCUUUUCGACGAAAACUGUGUUCUGCGAAUAAGAAACUGCCAUUAUUAUACUGGGUCACCGAUGGGUUAGGUGCUGGAGGAAGGGUAGUUUUAGUUUCUGGAUAUUUAACUUCAACUCUCUGUGGUACUUGGAGAAGACCCACUUCAAUUUCUUUAUUGAAAAAGAGAGGAAAAUGGAUCAAAGACACGAUCAAAUUGAAGGGAAUUCAGAACCCAGCCAUUCCUUUGGUCAAAUAUCUCAUUUGGCCCUCGAUAUUGGAGGAACUCUGAUCAAGGUGGUUUAUUUCUCAACAAGUAGAGAUGAUUGUAUUGAUCAUGAAGGGGAUAGCUCUGCAAAUAAUACUCUUGGAGUUUCCAAAAGUGGCAAACAUCCCAUCCUUGAAGGAAGACUCCAUUUUGCAAAGUUUGAGACGAGGAACAUCAAUGAUUGCUUGGAGUUUAUUAGUUCCAAGAAACUUCACCUUGGUGGUAAGUAUUUUGUUUAUGAGUUUUUUAUUUAUUGCGAAUCUGGAUGAUAUUUUCUAGCAGAUGUCAAAUUGUCAACAUAUUUGGAUCCAUUAUUGGUUUGCUUUAUACUUCAUACAAGAUGGUUUUUCAGUAGUUUCUUUUGGGCUGCGAAUAACUCUACCUCAGCUUGGUAGAGUUUGUGUGGAAUUCAAGAAGCUGAAUCUGAUCUUGAUUUAGGCUCAACCAAUCUUUUCAAGUUUGUUAUAUGUGCACUGGUCAGGCCCACUUUGUUAAUGAGAUCAAAUUUGCUGGUUUUGUAGAACGAUGCAUCCAUUGGAUCUGCUUCAGGUUUCUAGAUUUCUAAUUUACUAAUAUAGCUGAGAAUACUGUUGGUUAUGCAUGGCUAUAUCAUCGGCCUUACUUCUAAGCUUGGGAUUAGUUGGCAAAUGAGCUUCUUAAAUUCAGCCUAAUAAGCUAGCACUUUGGUUUGGUUGCUUUUGGAUCUGCAAACGUAAUUUUUAUACAACAAUGGGAGUACCAGCAUUUCUGGAGCUACCAAAAAAGGGUGGAUUUUCAAAUGGGAAAAAGAAAAUAUAUUUCCAAAGUAGUUUGUGACAUUUUUAGGGGUAUUAGGAAUUGGCAGGAGGACCCAUUAUAUGUAAAUGCAUUUUUGUCAAUAUAUAUACUGCACUAAGUCUUUGGAAAAGUGUACCCUCUUAUUAAACGAAAGUUAAUUUUAAGAAUUAUUUCAGUCUUUAAUAAAAAAAUUACUUGCAAUAACUUGGCGGAUAACUCAUUUUGUGGCUAUUACUUAAUAGAGUAAUUUCACGUGCACACUUUUAUGUGUAUUCUUUUGGCUGCUGCUAUUCAUUUGCUUAUAAAUGAAGAUGAACUCAGGUUUCCAGCGUUGUAGAAAUCUUGCCAAGGACAAGAACUUAAUUAAGGUAUGACUGUAUGAGUAAUUUUUGGGCGUUGCCAAACUGUGAUUUUUGAAGAAGCUAAUGACUAGAUGCGCUAGAAGCUAGGUCUUUCUGUCAUAAUUUAAGCAAAAAUAAUUGAUGAAUAAAUGCGCUUUUGAACUGUUUGUUGGUGACAAUAUUCGCUCUAUCUAUAAGCCCUUAUUUUCCUUCUUAGCUCUAGUGAUCACUUAAUGCCUUUCAAUUCCUUGCUUCAAUGCAUGGUGUAUUCAAACUAAAUAUCAAGCCAAAAUAGUGACAUAUUUCAGAAAAUUUUAGUCAAAGUUACCUAUAGGUGUUUCAGUUCUAUGGCUAUAUGAAUAUGAACUUUGGCAUAUUGUCUAGUGUUUCAUGCACUGGCACUGUUAUUUAAUGUAGUAAACAUUUUUGAGCCUGUAGUGUGUACUUUUAAAUUAUGCAAAUCUUUUAACUAUUACUGUCUGUGUGAAGGCCACAGGUGGUGGGGCACACAAGUUUGCUGAGCUUUUCAGAGAAAAGCUUGGGAUUGAUCUUGACAAGGAAGAUGAAAUGGAUUGUCUUGUGGCAGGAGCAAAUUUUUUGCUGAAGGCUAUACGCCAUGAAGCUUUCACACACAUGGAGGGUCACAAAGAAUUUGUACAAAUUGACCAUAAUGAUCUGUUCCCUUAUCUUCUUGUUAACAUUGGAUCUGGUGUUAGUAUGAUCAAGGUUGAUGGAGAUGGGAAGUUCGAACGGGUUAGCGGGACAAAUGUUGGUGGUGGUACUUAUUGGGGCUUGGGAAGGCUGUUAACUAAGUGCAAGAGUUUUGAUGAGUUGCUAGAGUUGAGUCAAAGGGGAGAUAAUAGGACUAUUGACAUGCUUGUUGGUGAUAUUUAUGGUGGUAUGGAUUAUAGUAAGAUUGGUCUCUCGGCAUCAACCAUUGCUUCUAGUUUUGGCAAGGCUAUUUCCGAAAAGAAGGAACUUGAAGAUUACAGACCAGAAGAUAUUUCCCUUUCCCUCUUGCGAAUGAUUUCAUAUAACAUUGGGCAGGUGUGUUGGGCAAAAGAUCUUACUUCUCAAAAUUUUUUCAUUUGUUGAUUUGUCUUCUAAAGGAAGUAACAAGGACUGUUUGUGUAUUAAGUGAUAAUGCAAUAUACCUAGUUUUCUAGAUUUUGGAUUGGUAUCUUCUAAAUCAUUCUCUGUAUUUCCUUCCAACAUAUUAUUGAUAAUGCUAUGACCUGUUAACAUUUUUCAUAAAACUAACAAUUAUGAAGUGUUUAACACAUGGAUCAGUUUGUGCGAUGAAGAACAGCCUUUAGCUGUUUAAAAGAAAACCUGCAACCCCUUGGGGACAAGAAGUGUUGUUUUAUUCCUUGAUUUUAGAGCAUGGGGUCAUUCAAAGGAAUUACUGUGUAAAGACUAAAUUCUGUUCCUACCAAGAAAUUUUAUAUUAGCAUAAAAUUGAUUGUUAUUGUUGGAACUCAGAAAAAAUCUUAAGUGUAGCAUACUAUCAUCCUUUGGCCAUCUCUAUUAUAACUUUGAGCACACUUAUAUUCACAUGUGUACUAACUAGUGAAUUUGUUUACAAGCUCAUGUGGAAACUAAUAGGGAAAUGUUUCAUUCUCAUUAGAGAUGACCAGCCAUUUAUGAUUUCUACAGAAUUGUUUUCAGAUAUCAAGGGUCUUGUUAUAUUCAUUUGUUGUUAAAUGCUAUGUUGAUAUAAUUGUCUGGCAUGAUCAUGCCAGAUAGACAAUUAUGUAAUUUGAAUGAUGUGCUGGUGUCUGCAUUGGCUGUUCCAUUCUGCAGAUUUCAUACUUGAAUGCACUUAGAUUUGGGCUUAAGCGAAUCUUCUUUGGAGGUUUCUUUAUACGGGGUCAUGCUUAUACCAUGGACACAAUCUCCUUUGCUGUCCAUUUCUGGUCAAAAGGAGAGGCCCAAGCAAUGUUUCUGCGGCAUGAAGGCUUUUUGGGUGCUUUAGGUGCAUUUAUGAGCUAUGAAAAGCAUGGUCUUGAUGAUUUAAUGGUUCAUCAGUUAGUUGAAAGGUUUCCAAUGGGUGCACCAUAUACCGGUGGAAAGAUUCAUGGUCCUCCACUUGGAGACUUGAAUGAGAAGAUUUCAUGGAUGGAAAAGUUUGUGCUGAAGGGAACUGAGAUUACAGCUCCUGUACCUAUGGCUCCACCUGGAACCACUGGACUUGGUGGCUUUGAGGUUCCUUCAUCCAAAGGUGGAACUCUGCGUUCUGAUGCGAGUGCAUUAAAUGUUGGUGUUCUUCAUCUUGUGCCCACUUUGGAGGUGUUUCCUCUCUUGGCAGACCCAAAAAUGUACGAGCCAAACACUAUUGACCUCUCAGAUCACAAUGAGUUAGAGUAUUGGUUCACUGUGCUAUCUGAGCAUUUGCCAGAUCUUGUUGAUAAGGCAGUGGCAAGCGAAGGCGGAACCGAUGAUGCCAAAAGAAGGGGUGAUGCUUUUGCUCGUGUUUUUUCUGCUCACUUAGCAAGGUUGAUGGAGGAGCCUGCUGCCUAUGGGAAGUUAGGUUUGGCAAAUCUUUUGGAACUAAGAGAAGAGUGCCUGAGAGAGUUCCACUUUGUUGAUGCCUAUAGAAGCAUAAAACAGAGGUAAUUGCAUAUUUUCACAAAAAUCCUGUAAGUACUGUAUGAAUCUAGUUUUUGUCUGAUUUCUUUUGUGAGAUAAUUUGCGUUUCACUUGCACAUUUUAGUUGAUCAUGGUCUGUGCAUUCUAAGGUGAGUCUUGAGAGCCAAAAAUUAUACACCUUUCAAACAUGAAACUACAUAAAAGACGCAUGCAGGGCGAGCACCAUCAAUUGAAUGGUGCUUGAUAAAUUCCUUAAACUUUAAUCAUGGUAAGUCAAGGUAGGCAUGUAUGACACUCAGGCUUCCCUUGCUUAUUAGCUGACUAAUUAUGUGAUUGUCUUGUGCACUUAGCUUUCCAUCUGAAAGUUAUUUUUAUGCAUAUAAAAGGGUGCACUUACUGCAGCUCUACCAGAUGCACACAAACUUCACCAUACUUCUUAUUUUCUUAUGGUCCCUUUGUGUAUUUUUUCAAUAUUGAAUGACAGGGAAAAUGAGGCAUCACUUGCUGUAUUGCCUGAUUUGUUGAUGGAGCUUGAUAGUAUGACAGAGGAGACAAGAUUGCUUACCUUAAUUGAGGGUGUUCUAGCUGCAAACAUAUUUGACUGGGGCUCUCGUGCCUGUGUGGAUCUCUAUCAUAAAGGAACAAUUAUUGAAAUUUACAGAAUGAGUCGCAACAAAAUGCAAAGACCUUGGCGGGUGGAUGAUUUUGAUGUUUUCAAAGAGAGAAUGCUGGGUAACCCGUGCCCACACAAGAGAGCUUUACUCUUUGUGGAUAACUCAGGUGCUGACAUUGUUCUAGGGAUGCUUCCCUUAGCACGAGAACUCAUUCGACGUGGAACUGAGGUUGUUUUGGUAGCAAACUCCCUCCCAGCACUAAAUGAUGUGACUGCUAUGGAGCUCCCUGAUAUUGUCGCUGAAGCUGCCAAGGUUUGUCCCUAUGGCUUGGUACUUUUCAUCUUGAUCUCCAAUUGGCUUAAAAUCAACUUCAUCUCUGCCAAUGCGAUUUGGUCCAUAUGCAUGAAGACUUGGCACUUUUCACCAUAAUUUCCAAUGUGAUUGCUUUGGUUGGACAUGCUACUGAAAAUGGAUUUUGUGGCUAAUUGAGGGAACAUUGAAACUAUAAUAUUCUUGUACAUAAGUAUCAGACUUCAAAAACUUAAUGCUUGUUGUGCCAUUUUAUAUAGAAUUUUUCAUGAUAAUAAUGCAAUAAACAGAAGUAAUAAAACUGAUUCUCCUAGUCCACAGCAUUGUGACAUUCUUCGCAGAGCUGCUGAAGCAGGAGGCCUGCUCGUGGAUGCAAUGAUCAACACAUUAGAUGGUUCAAAGGAGAAUACCUCCUCAGUUCCCCUGAUGGUUGUCGAGAAUGGGUGUGGGAGUCCAUGCAUAGAUUUGAGACAGGUCAGCUCUGAGCUUGCUGCUGCUGCAAAGGAUGCUGAUUUGGUAUGAUACUGACUCCAAUUUUCUUUUUCCAUGUUAUGCAUUGACUUCUUAUGUUUAUCUGUUUCAAUAUGAUCUUUUCUUUUAUUAGUUGCGGUUAGCAUCCCCUUCUGUUUGAGAACAAACUGUUGCAAACAUAAACUUCAGUAAAAACUACAAAGGCAAGGUCAGUAACUGUAUUCACAUCUUGAAAAUUGUGUUGUUCAGAUUAUCUUGGAAGGGAUGGGCAGAGCUCUCCACACCAACUUCAAUGCUCGGUUUAAAUGUGAUGCAUUGAAGGUAAUACUAUAUGUUUUCUUUUUUUUUUUUCCCAAAGUUGAAUGGUCUCUUGUGCAAUGUGAAAGUUGAAUGACAGACAUAGUUCCCCUGUUUUUCAUUUGCUGGGUAUAAAUGAGUGUGUUAGCUAACUUUGCUUUUCAUAAUCAUUGGGGAUGGCACUUAAAUGCAUUGUAUAUAAAACUUGGACCGACCUGGCAGGUUAACCCAGUGACUCAGGCAUAGAACUGAGCCAGUUCUCUCAUUGAACUAGACAAGAAGUUGACCCAGAAAACUCAGAUUAUCCGGUGGUUGAACUGGUGACCCAAUGAGCCGGUUAUUUUAAAAUUUUUCAAGUUAAAGAUUUUUUAAAAAUAUCAAUGACAUUGAUAGUUUAAUAGUUAAAAUUUUAUAUUUAUAUUUAUUCAAUGAAUAAAAUAUUAUUUACCUAUGAUCUUUUUAUUUAUAGCAAUAUAAGAAAUUUUACUA
rnacentral:misc_RNA from 1 species